GAAGUGCUGACAUAGAUGACAUUUGUCUUUGAUGACAUGUCGAGUGUGGUAGCCUGUUUUCCAGCUGGCAAUUUUCCGAAGUCAUUCCAGAUGCGUUCAAACUAAGGUAGAUGUUUAGAACUGAAAUGAAUUUAUUGUGCUUCUUACUUUGCUUUGAAUUGCUGGAACUCCCUUUAUGAUGAAAUAGCCUUUAACAGAACACGUAAAUACUGUCAAGAAUGUGUUACGUACGUACGUGCUGGAAGGGCUCCUGCUCUUUGGGUAGACCUGCAGAUCUGGGAGUCGGAGUGUACUGUCAAAGACAAGAAUAAUGUGAUGGUGGAUCUGGCAAGCAACAAGCAACAGGCGCAAGCCAGGAUACACUCUGGACAGGAUGCUGCUCCAUUGCAGGGCAGACACAGACACAGACACUCACACCAGGACCAAUCUUCCCACAAGACAAUUAACCUGCCAGUAUGUCUUUGGACAGUCAUACUCAGUCUCUUUGGACUGAGAGAGGAAACCGAAGGACCCAGUGAAAACCCAUAGGAACAUGGGAAGAACGUGCAAAAUCCUCACAGACAGCAUCCCAGGAAUUGAUCCCAGAGGGGAAUGGAGGCAGCAACGCUGACCACCAUAGAUAUCCGUUGCCUUAUUAGUUUGAAAUGUGAUGUGUUCCAUUUUAAUUUGACUUUCGGUGUUUCCAAUUGGUAAAGAUCUUUUCUGAUCAGAUCUUUUAUAGGUAAUUCGCUCAGUUCUGUAUCUUUUAAAAGAUCUAAUUAAAACCGUCUUGUUGAAAUGUUUUUCUUUCUAAAUCAUUUGUGAUCAUCAUUGGCUAUAUUUUAUGAUGGAAUCUAGAUGGACCAGUUGGAGUCUUGGUUACACCCUGUGCCCUGUGGAGAGAGAGAAAGGAAACAAUAAAUCCAGUUGUUGCUGUGCCUGUUAAACAGAGGUAUUCUUGACCAAACUGGACCAGCCAGGAACGUUAGCGAUUACUAGUGAAGAUCAAGUGUCUGGUGAAGAGUGCAAGUGAAAAGUUGAAUUUAAUAAUGAGCUGUGAAGACAGAGAAUUCAGUAGCACAGAAUGUAUUGAUUUGAAUUACCCUGUGCCUGAUUACUGAAGCCAGAGAGUGAAGUAUUAAUGAAGAGAUCACAUGAGUGUGAUUAUCUGUUUGAGAAUAGAGCCAAGUGAAGAAACUCAGAAGUCAGAAGACUUCCCUGAUAAGGGGAACUACGUAUAAAAAAGAAUCCGAGAGGAUCAGAAGAAACACUAAAAACUAAGGUGGCACUCUGAAAGUUUGGGUCUGGUGGUGCAUGUACCAGUUUGUGUCACAGAGCCUUUAACAUGAUAUUCUGGAAUGAAACCAUCUGUCAUUUCAACAAAACCACAUCCAAUUUUAAGAUUUUGUUUAUUAUAAUUUUAUCCCCUAAGUUCUCAAAACAUUCCUAUUUCUAGAGUUCUUAUAAUCCUUUCCUGGUAGCUAUCUCUGCUUUUCUUGCUGCAACUUGUUUUUGCUGCUGAAGCAAGUUAUGUAGACAACACAGGGGCAGUUUGUCUUGCAGCUCUGGUUACACUGCACAUUUGCACACCACAGAGCCUGCUUAUUAUCCGGCCAUGAAACAGUGAGUAAGCGGGUUAUUGUGCUUCAUCAUAUCUCCCACACUUUGGUUGUCUUCUUGAUAUUUCUUUUAUUUAAACAGUAAAACAGUGUAUUCAAUGUGCCCACUGUAACACUGGAAACUUUGUAAAUAACAUACUUUUCAGAUCUGUCAAAUUCACUUUAUAGA
rnacentral:lncRNA from 1 species